CAUGCUUCCAAGAAAAGCCUCUAAGCUUCAGUUACAAGGAGACCGUACCGCAAACCGACACAGGUGGGCAGGAUGAAAAUUCUAAGGCGCUUGAGAGAACUCAGGAGAAGGAACUCGGCAAAUUAGCACCGUAACUUCGGGAAAAGGUGCGCCCUGAUAGGUUGUAGCCCCUCGCGGGUGAAGGCUGAAAGGGUUGCAGUGAAAUGGUGGCUGCGACUGUUUAAUAAAAACACAGCACUCUGCAAACACGAAAGUGGACGUAUAGGGUGUGACGCCUGCCCGGUGCCGGAAGGUUAAUUGAUGGAGUGAGAGCUCUUGAUCGAAGCCCCGGUAAACGGCGGCCGUAACGAUAACGGUCCUAAGGUAGCGAAAUUCCUUGUCGGGUAAGUUCCGACCUGCACGAAUGGCGUAACGAUGGCCACACUGUCUCCUCCUGAGACUCAGCGAAGUUGAAGUGGUUGUGAAGAUGCAAUCUCCCCGCGGUUAGACGGAAAGACCCCAUGAACCUUUACUGUAGCUUUGCAUUGGACUUUGAACCGACUUGUGUAGGAUAGGUGGGAGGCUGUGAAUCCGGGACGCUAGUUCUGGUGGAGCCAACCUUGAAAUACCACCCUGGUUUGUUUGAGGUUCUAACCACGGCCCGUGAAUCCGGGUCUGGGACCGUGCAUGGUAGGCAGUUUGACUGGGGCGGUCUCCUCCUAAAGUGUAACGGAGGAGUACGAAGGUACGCUAGGUACGGUCGGAAAUCGUGCUGAUAGUGCAAUGGCAAAAGCGUGCUUGACUGCGAGACCCACACGUCGAGCAGGUACGAAAGUAGGUCAUAGUGAUCCGGUGGUUCUGUAUGGAAGGGCCAUCGCUCAACGGAUAAAAGGUACUCUGGGGAUAACAGGCUUAUACCGCCCAAGAGUUCAUAUCGACGGCGGUGUUUGGCACCUCGAUGUCGGCUCAUCACAUCCUGGGGCUGUAGUCGGUCCCAAGGGUAUGGCUGUUCGCCAUUUAAAGUGGUACGUGAGCUGGGUUUAAAACGUCGUGAGACAGUUUGGUCCCUAUCUGCCGUGGGCGUUGGAAAUUUGAAGGGGGCUGCUCCUAGUACGAGAGGACCGGAGUGGACGAACCUCUGGUGUACCGGUUAUGACGCCAGUCGUAUCGCCGGGUAGCUAAGUUCGGAAGAGAUAAACGCUGAAAGCAUCUAAGCGUGAAACUCGCCUUAAGAUGAGAUUUCCCCGGGGACUCGAUCCCCCUCAAGGGCCGUGGUAGACCACCACGUUGAUAGGCUGGAUGUGGAAGCGCAGCAAUGCGUUGAGCUAACCAGUACUAAUCGCCCGUGCGGCUUGAUCG
rnacentral:rRNA from 1 species